UACGGAGGGCGCGAGCGUUAAUCGGAAUUACUGGGAGUAAAGGGUGCGUAGGUGGUUGAUUAAGUUAUCUGUGAAAUUCCUGGGCUUAACCUGGGACGGUCAGAUAAUACUGGUUGACUCGAGUAUGGGAGAGGGUAGUGGAAUUUCCGGUGUAGCGGUGAAAUGCGUAGAGAUCGGAAGGAACACCAGUGGCGAAGGCGGCUACCUGGCCUAAUACUGACACUGAGGCACGAAAGCGUGGGGAGCCUACAGG
rnacentral:rRNA from 1 species